rnacentral:rRNA from 1 species
UACGUAGGCAGCGAGCGUUGUUCGGAGUUACUGGGCGUAAAGGGUGUGUAGGCGGUUGUUUAAGUUUGGUGUGAAAUCUCCCGGCUCAACUGGGAGGUGCGCCGAAUACUGAAUGACUAGAGUGCGGGAGAGGAGAGUGGAAUUCCUGGUGUAGCGGUGAAAUGCGUAGAUAUCAGGAGGAACACCGGUGGUGUAGACGGCUCUCUGGACCGUAACUGACGCUGAGACACGAAAGCGUGGGUAGCAAACAGG